rnacentral:rRNA from 1 species
GUGUCAGCCGCCGCGGUAAUACGUAGGGUGCAAGCGUUGUUCGGAAUUACUGGGCGUAAAGGGAGCGUAGGCGGGUUCGUAAGUUAGGAGUUUAAUACAUGGGCUCAACCCAUGGCUUGCUUUUAAGACUGCGGAUCUUGAGUAUGGGAGAGGGCGAUGGAAUUCCAGGUGUAGCGGUGGAAUGCGUAGAUAUCUGGAAGAACACCAGUAGCGAAGGCGGUCGCCUGGCCCAAUACUGACGCUGAGGCUCGAAAGCUAGGGGAGCAAACAGGAUUAGAUACCCUGGUAGUCCUAGCUAUAAACGAUGGACACUAGAUGCUGGAGGAGUCAAUCUUUUCAGUGUCGUAGCUAACGCAUUAAGUGUCCCGCCUGGGAAGUACGCUCGCAAGAGUGAA